CUUUCGUAGAUAUGUCAUGCUAGGUUAUAAUGAUGCAACUCAAUUGGCGUCUAGCUUGGAAUUAUGCGAUAAAAGGUGCAUGUCCUACCUAUACAUUGUUGAAUGCAUAUUGAUCAACGUUUAGUACAAUAUUUUCUCACGCUUGGCCAAGUAAUAGAGAAUCGAGAGGUUUCCUAGAUAAGCAGGGGUCAAACAAGGAUUUUCUAUCAAACUUAGUUAUAAAGUCUACUUUUAAUUUCUAGACGGUAUAAUUUCUAUACAGUAUAAGUAUAAAACUAUGCUAGUCUAAAUAUUUACACAGAGGAUUCUGUAGAGUAGUAUGAAAUAGAAUAAUGAUGAAAUGUGAAGUAACUUGUAUUAAGGAAGAUGAAGGAAGUCUCCGCAUAAUAGGCCAGUUAAGCUAUCUGAUAUGCUCUUGAUGUGAUAUAAAUCACUUAACCAUCUUCUAUUGAAGGCGAGCACCCUCUCAACGUCUAAACACCAC
rnacentral:lncRNA from 1 species